rnacentral:lncRNA from 1 species
UCAUUUUGGAUGAAAUACAAUAUUGUCUUUUAAUUCGUUCAGCCAAUUUAAUCUUCUUCCUCCCUUUAGUUUACUAGUCACUCAAUAAAGCUCUAUGAGCUAUUAGUCUUUCAAAAAGGCUCUAUAGAACCAUAAUAUUUCUGCAUCUUAUAACAAACGCUUACACACUGAGGCGCUCCCAUGCACAAUAAUCGAGAAAAUACAAAUUCUCGCUCUGCUCGACCUCAGGGGUGCCUCUGGCCGCCGGAACUGACCCUUCAGAUUCCUCUUUUGUUCUCUUCCAACUCACUCCACAACUUCAUUUUGUGUUUCUUAGUGUGCUAUGUUGCCAUCUCUGCUCUCUGCUCCACUCACUCAUGUGUUCAUCCGCUGAGAGC